GACGAACGCUGGCGGCGUGCUUAACACAUGCCAGUCGAACGGAAAGGCCCUGCUUUUGUGGGGUUCUCGAUUGCCGAACGCGUGAGUAACACGUGAGUAACCUGCCCUUGACUUUGGGAUAACUUCAGGAAACUGGGGCUAAUAUCGGAUAGGAGAUCCUGCUGCAUGGUGGGGGUUGGAAAGUUUCGGCGGUUGGGGAUGGACUGGCGGCUUAUCAGCUUGUUGGUGGGGUAGUGGCUUACCAAGGCUUUGACGGGUAGCCCGCCUGAGAAGGUGACCGGCGACCUGGGGACUGAGAUAGGGAGCAGACGGGAACGGGAGGCAGUGGGCGGGAGUAUGACACAGUGAGCCGGAGCGUGAUGAGAAGACGUCGCGUGCGGAAAGACCGCCUUCGGGUUAAGAACAGCUGUCGCCUGAGACGAAGCGGGAGUGACGGUAAUGGAUGAAGAAGCACCGGCUAACUACGUG
rnacentral:rRNA from 1 species